UCCCUACGGGAGGCAGCAGUGGGGAAUAUUGGACAAUGGGGGGAACCCUGAUCCAGCGACGCCGCGUGAGUGAAGAAGUAUUUCGGUAUGUAAAGCUCUAUCAGCAGGGAAGAAAGAAAUGACGGUACCUGACUAAGAAGCCCCGGCUAACUACGUGCCAGCAGCCGCGGUAAUACGUAGGGGGCAAGCGUUAUCCGGAUUUACUGGGUGUAAAGGGAGCGUAGACGGUGAUGCAAGUCAGAAGUGAAAGCCCGCGGCUCAACUGCGGGACUGCUUUUGAAACUGUAUGACUGGAGUGCAGGAGG
rnacentral:rRNA from 1 species